AACGAACGCUGGCGGCAUGCCUAACACAUGCAAGUCGAACGAGACCUUCGGGUCUAGUGGCGCACGGGUGCGUAACGCGUGGGAACCUGCCUUUAGGUUCGGAAUAACUCCCCGAAAGGGGUGCUAAUACCGGAUAAUGUCUUCGAACCAAAGAUUUAUCGCCUUUGGAUGGGCCCGCGUUGGAUUAGCUAGUUGGUAGGGUAAAAGCCUACCAAGGCGACGAUCCAUAGCUGGUCUGAGAGGAUGAUCAGCCACACUGGGACUGAGACACGGCCCAGACUCCUACGGGAGGCAGCAGUGGGGAAUAUUGGACAAUGGGCGAAAGCCUGAUCCAGCAAUGCCGCGUGAGUGAUGAAGGCCUUAGGGUUGUAAAGCUCUUUUACCCGGGAUGAUAAGGACAGGACCGAGAGAAUAAGCUCCGGCUAACUCCGU
rnacentral:rRNA from 1 species